CGGCCAUGUUCAGCUGUCAUUAUGCUCUCAAAUGUCAUCGUAUUGUCAAUAAAUUUGACCGUGUGAGGUCCGCUUAACUGUGUGUGCGCGCAACCGCCAUUUCUCUAAUGGAAGCGAAGCGAUUUGGAGCCUAAAAUUGUAGAAUCCAUAGCAAAAGUUUCAUGUAGCCGUAAGCGUUUAGAGGCCAAAACGGCGGAUGUCGCCGUAACAAUUGAUUGAUGAUCCGAUUAUUGUUUGAUUUUUCCCCUCAUUCUAUUGUCCGCAGAUCGCAACCAACAGCAGCAAUGGACCGCCUCUCGAUGGAUUUGUUGUUCCAGGAAACAAUGGAUAUCAGUUGGGUCAAUCGUACCGUCAGCAGCGAGGAAACCAACAACAACCAUUUCACACUGAGCAAUCAACAGCUAAAAAGACUACCAGCACCGAUUCGGACAACAUCGACUCGGAUGAGAAGCAGCAGCAACAGUGCAGAUUGUCGAUGUUAUUCCAAUAAUAUACUGUCUGUAGCAAAAACUCCACUAGCUAAUGAACGAUAUGCUACGGCGAAAGUUCCAAAAUUUCAAACACAGCGUCACGACAACAUUAAUUCUACAGCAGUACUUGGCGACGGAACCCAGCGAAAACCAUUACCAUCACUACCAUCGACAGCAGCCCACUAAUCCAUCCAUCGAAGGAUCGGAGCGAUAUGUGUCCUAUUUGCCACACAAUUUCCUCCACAAAUCACGACUUCACGGAGCUCAACAACAGAAAAUCUGCGUCUGAGGAUGCCUGGGAGAGUCAGUUUGCGUGGUAAAUUUGCUUCAAGGCGCUUCGUUGCUGGCUCGGUACAUGCUGCCUCCGCUCGAACUUGGAGCGUCACAUCAAACAGUAACAUCUUUAAUUCUGGUCGUAUUGUCAGCGCGGAGGCAAUCAUUAGAAGCGCGGUUGGAGCAUUCGAUCGGCAAUCAAGCAAUCCGCCAAAGGAAGGACGUAGACAAAGGUAAAGAUCCAUUGGUCAUUGGUGAAGGCGGUCAAUAGUGGCAAUAAUGACGAUUUGGUGCCGGUUUCGAAACCGGUCGACAGCGCUACGAACCUUGGCCAUUUUAGAUAAAUUUCGUAAUUUGGUGUUCCGCUGUCACAAGAUUAAAACGACGAGCAGGUGCUGCUGACUUCCGGCUCGGUAUGUGGCUGGGUGGAGAAUUUCUUAUUAAAUUUAAAGAACAAGUACUGCCAAUUUUGAUCCACAAUGAUCAAUCCGCAUGUGACUAAACUGAGAGAUUUUUUCACUAUGCAGCUUCCAUUGGGAUUUCCAGUAAAAAUAGAAAUAACGCUGUUUCAUGUGUUGAACGCGGUUAUCAUAUUUGACAACGUAUUCGAAUAAGAGAUAACUGUGACCAGCGUGAGCCCCAUCAAAGAAAGCGAAUAGCGUACGAGAUGCACUAUCGAGGGUUACUGUUUCGAUGUCCCGUUCGAGUACGUACGACGUGGUGCCGAUUUCCGGCGUCAAAUAAUCUUCGAAGAUGAGAACGAGUUGAUGCAAUUUGCGAUCCAGCAAAAUUUCGCAAGUGUCCUAAAAAGCACACUUCUAAGUACUGUGAUACUCAACUCGCUCGCUAAAAGCC